rnacentral:misc_RNA from 1 species
GAUGAAGAACGCAGUAAAAUGCGAUAAGUAAUGUGAAUUGCAGAAUUCAGUGAAUCAUCGAAUCUUUGAACGCACAUUGCGCCCUCUGGUAUUCCGGGGGGCAUGCCUGUUCGAGCGUCAUUAUAACCACUCAAGCUCUCGCUUGGUAUUGGGGUUCGCGGUUCCGCGGCCCCUAAAAUCAGUGGCGGUGCCUGUCGGCUCUACGCGUAGUAAUACUCCUCGCGAUUGAGUCCGGUAGGUCUACUUGCCAGCAACCCCCAAUUUUUACAGGUUGACCUCGGAUCAGGUAGGGAUACCCGCUGAACUUAAGCAUAUCAAUAAGCGGAGGA